UAAGUAACUUUAGCUCGUAAGCUAACCUGUUCAGAUACAACAUACCAUAUGUAUUUUCACUGUCUCAAACUCAAUCAUGUUGCUGUCACAGCACCAUUAGGUCUCGGUUGUUACCUUAAGUUUAUGGAUUAUAGUUUAAUGUUCUUAUCUGGUACUGGCCCCGACUCAGUACAAGCUAUCAUGACAGACAGACAUCUCAACACUAGUGUCUAAUCAGAACUGAAAAACAGUCAGUCUGCUGUUGUGUCAGUCUUCUCGCUUCCACCAGGGACGUGUCUUUUUCUCCCCUGAAAGUCGCAAAAUCGCAUCACAAUUGACGUGUAUAGUCAGGCGCGUCAAAAUUCGCCUCAGAAUAUUUUGUAAUUUCACGUCGUAUAUUUGCGUCGUUCCAGGUGUGUAAGGAUCUUUAGGGACAGACACAGCAAGGGAGAUCACUGUUUAUGUUCAUUAAAUAUUGAUGAUCAGAUAUAAGCAUUCAAAAAUGACCAAUAAAAAGAAAAAAAAAAUGGUUUGAUCAUUUCGAUGAAGCAUCAGAAGUAACUGGCUGCUAUUUUAAAAUUACAAUCCUUCUUCCAACUUUGAUUCUCUCCACUUUUUUUAGCAGGCAGUUUUUCCCCCGCCUGUCAAACACCGUUUGUGCAGACCAGGUUCAGGUGAGGUCCCGUCACUUACACGGCCCUGAGUGACAGGAGGUUAAAGCUGUCUGCAGGCUGAGUGAGAGGUGAUGUGGACUCAGAGCCGGUCAGGAGACGGCCUGUUCCCCUGAAUGGAGAGACUCUGACUGCAGCAUGAUUAACUCCAUCUCUGCCUGUCGCCGUUAAAAUAGCUCUUCCGCUGCUUGUGUGGUUCUUUGAUAUGAUUUAGAGUCACAUUAUGGUGGAUUAACACUGAAGCGGUCUGCUUGAAUGGGCUUCAGAUGGACAAAUAUUAAUGCUAGCACUGCUGUUAUUACUGCUUUGACCAUCUAUUUCUGGAAAUUGCGCUGAUAAGGAUCCUCUAUAACGACAGAGCUGUCAUUUUGGAUGUCAUUCUGCAGUCUAACAACAUUUACAGAGCUCUGAUGAAGUUUGACAUCUUACAAAACCUGCUCUAAAGUUAUGCAUAAUAAUAAAAUUUUUUAAGCAUGAAUGAUUUUGGAAAUUGUCACCUUAUCUCCUACAAUAUACUCCCAGAAAUAUCUAUUCACCAUCUGUUGGAAGAAGCUCUGUACUUGGACACUAUUACCUACGAGUUCUGGAUGAGUUAAUGCCAACAAAAAAAACAGCCUUAUGGAGAAUAAAUCAACAUAAAAAACUCAAGAAAUUAAAGUCCAGAUAUGCUGAUUUGAAUGCAAAGCACAUCCGAACAUCUACAACCCAACAUCCUGGAUGUUUCUGUGCCAUAAGGCUGCACAGUUAUCUCAAAUAUUAGGCGGAGGUAAUUGCAAUGUGGCCAAAUGCAGAAUCCAAAUGGCAGGAGCUGCAGUUAAAUGAUAAAGGUAAAAUGAAAACAGCUUUAUAAUGAAGUAGAGAUAAACCGGUUCUUCAAAUUCACUUCUGCAGGUAUUAGAAAAUGUUUGUUUGCUUCAAAAAUAACAAACUUAUUUCAGUGUUUUUCAUAAAAAAAUAAAUACUGCUAUGCGCAAAUUAAUGUUCCCUCCUAUUGCAAAUUGAUCUCAAAUGUUUAAGAACCACUGUUAAGACCUGUUUGUUUAUCAAUAUUCAUUCCCAGGAGGAGAUCAAUAAAGGAAUAAAAGUUUUUUUUCUACCUUUAUUUUGCAUUUUUUCAAUUUUUCUCAUGAUUAUGUUAACCAUGUAACGAUGACACUGCAGUUUUAUUUAUGUAAUUAUUAUUAUAAUUAUGAAAUUAAAAUUUUUACCCCUGUAAUUACCCAAAUUCAAUGUUGCCCCCGAGACAAAGGAUGGCAAGGGGUGUGUAUAAAUGGAAAUGUAAUGAAAUAAAACAAAAUUUAAAAAAUUAUCACAAAAAAAAGGAAUAAGUGUUGCUGCCAUUGUUACACUUAUCAGCCUCUCUCUUCUGAACAUUUCUUUCCAUGCAUUCCUGAUAUAAUUCAUGCAAACCUCUGUUUUAUUUUGAAAACCCUCCCUCCCAUUUCCCCUCUCUAAGCAGAGACUGUCGACCCACUGAACCCGUUAAUCCAGACCAAGGCCUGAUGAGAUACGAAUCCCAGCUGAUUUAUGUCACUUCUCAUGAUAUGUUAUCGAAGUUUAACACUCACCUGGGAGGUGGGAGUGCAGAGGCGUGCGUAUGAGUGUGUGUAUUUUGCAGAAAUGGAGGGAAGCGGAUGGAGGUCUGACCUUGGCAGCUUCUCUCCGGAGAAUAAGUCACCUUAAGGCACCUCAGGUAAAAGAGUGAGAUCAUGAGCAUGCUCCUGUAUGCUGCACACUUUCUCAAAGUCACUCCCUGUGCAGGAUUUUAGCUUUGAUUGGAAAUGACAGCAAACAAGACCUCUUAUGGAUAUUUGUUUUUCAUGGUUUUGCAAGAAUUGACCUUUUUUUUGACUUUUUCCAAAAAAGAGGUGGAGCAUACUAAACACCAGUCUGUUUUUUUCUAACAGACACUUAGAUAAAUAUUCAAAACAAACUCAAAAACAGCAUUUUGAUCAUUACCUUUACAUUUCAAAUUAACAUUUUCUUCUACCUUCACAUAUGCAUUUGCACCAUAAAUAGUCCAGUUAGAAAUAUGUCUGCAAAUGAAGGGCAAAUUACACUCAGCCUAUAAGGUUGUUGCACUCGUUUGUGUUUCUUUUUGUCAUGCUCAGAUUUGCAUUAUCUCCACACAUUAUAACACAACUCUCUUCAAGGUAGCUCUGUAUCUGUUUGGUUCCCUUUACUUUUGAAUAGGUCCCAGUUGUGUUCUGCAAGUGUAAACUUUUUAGUAGAUAAAUGUUGAUUUAAAUGUUUAACCUCCGGGUAUUUCAGUUGAGUUAAGUAUUAUAUUAAUGGAAGUUGAUAAUGCCUAUUUAAUUUUGCAUGCUUAAAUUAAAUUCCUUCUUCUUCCUAAGUGAGUAGAGUAUGUCACUUUAUCCUAGUUGUAGAACUAGGUCCUGCAAACAUUGUGUUUGCUGGUAGUCUGUUGGCAUCUAUAGUAGCAGCAAUGCUUUAUACUUUCACGUUGACUGGGCUCCAUUUGUAAUUAUCUGAAGUAUUUAUCUGCAUUAUAUCUGAAUUUAAUUGAAACGAUACAAGCGAGCAGGAUCGUCUAUUUGUGGGCGGGGCUUGCUGGAGCAGAGAUGGAGGGGAGAGGAGGAGCUGAGGGGAAAACUGGUUUGGAGGGGUAGUGUUUACAUUCAAGAUUUCUCCCAAAAACUGACACUUCCACUUUUAAAGACCUUAAUGAGUACAAUUUAAGAUCCAUUUUACAUCCAUACUGGCAAAAAAGAACAGAAGACAUGAGUGAAAUUGGAACAUUUUAAACUGACUUCAAAUCAAUCUUUAUCUGUAAGUAACAUCAAUACAUUUUAAGACCUUUCAAAUUUGUACUAAACACAUUUUAUGAGAUUUUAAGAGAAUUUUAGACAUUUUAAGGCCUUAAAUACAAAUUAUUGGAUUUGAGAUGUUCGUUGACUCCAAAGAAAGGUCUUAAAAAGUCUUUAAAGUGUCUAUCUGUGUGUUAAGUUGGUGAUAGUGAAUACGCAGCAUUUGGAGAGGCUCCAGAAUAAAGUUGUUUUGCAUUUAAUGACCUGUGGAUUUACUAUAGUCAUCAACAAGUGGUUAAUUUUGCUAAUGGCUCAUACUGAGAUGCUUUAAGUAGUUCAUUUUCUGCAGGAACAGCAGAUGGGUGUGAUCCAGAUCCAGAUUUUGGUCCAAAAUCAUUGCUUGGUGAUGAAACUAUUCGAACACUGAACCAAAAACUCGACAUCAUAUUUUGGUUAUUUUAAAAUUCAGAGAAGUACACUCUUACAUCUCUGUACAUAUCUACACUCUGGCAUGCGAGCUUGUUGCAGAACCUACUUUGUUCCUGAAGUCAUUAAGAGGUUUUAUUCUGAAUGCAUUACCCAGAGAAGGUCGCAGUGAAGAGCUAAGGGUCAAUAUCAGUUUCUUUUAGCAGCUUUAUAUCCACUGACCGCAUUCACCUUCUCUUCUGAUAGCCUCUGUAGAUAUGAGAAUAGAGCACUCGAGUGCUGCGGAGGUACAUUAAAUGACGCUCAUGGUUCUAAGUAAGCAGACAGGCUGCUGAAGAGAGCAGCUGGAGGACAGCGCUUGAAUAAAUGUACUUAAUGCAGUAAGUGUAGAGCAGCUCAUAAAGAGAAGUUCUUCCUCUAAACUGAAUCAGAUCUGCAGCAUGGAGGACGAGAGUAAAUCAGAGCGGAUGAUGACAGAUCGAUGUGAAGGAUGUUUUCAAUUAAAACACACAAGGCAGAAGUACAUGAGUAUCAAAAUCGCAAAAAAGUCUGAAAGAGAGGUCAGAUCCGGCAACACUUCCCCUCCAAAGACCUGGUUAACCAAUACAAGAAGACUAGAAAGAAACACUUUUAUUUUAACAAUGAUAGAAUUGGGAAUAGGUUCAGUUAAAACCCACAAAUUAAAAUACUAAUCCUGAUACUGAACUCUGAAUAACACAGAGGGCUCUAUUUUCGUGUCCGCUGGCGACGCGGCAGAGGGUGGCGGACCCCGCGCAAUGGUAAAUAAUCAACAACAACUAAUAAUCUGAGUCAGUACAUAUACAUUUAGAUCUAUAUAGAUAUAUUCUGAUCUAUAUCUGAUCUGAUGAGCGCGUUUGGACAUUCAACCUGACCGAAUCAACACAGCUGAAACCGCAUUAAAUUAAAUUAAAUAUCUAGUAAAUAGACACACAUGAUGAAGUGAACAAGAUAUGUAAUUUGUCUCCCUUCUUUUCUUUCUUCCUCUUCAUCUUAUUUCUUGUGCAGCUCGACCUGGACAUGUCUCUGUGUCCUCUCCCCGUCCUGCUGCAGCUGCUGCUGCGACGACUGAACAGAUGAUUUGUUUCAGUGAUCAGAUGAGUUAUUUGCUUUAAGCCUACAUACGAAUAUUAUAAUGUUCAGUUUUGUGAGUCAAAUUUAUUUCAUAUGCCAACAUCUAUGAAAGAAAGAGCCAGGCCACGGAGCGCAAUGCGUCAUCUAUGCACAGAUGGUUCUGAUUUUAAUGCCAUUAUUGGAAUUUAUGUUGUGAUCUGUGAGCACAACCCACCUUUGUCACGUGAGGUUUAUAUAUAUGCAACUUUAUGUGAGUGUCUUUAUUUGUGGAAAAGGGUGUUUGUCUUACCAGUGGGUCCAACAUUACACACACCAAAUCCAUCUGUGCUCAUAUAAGAGAGUGUGGAGGACGCCCUCUGCAGCGCUUACAGCGACACUUGUUGAGGAGCUGCCUUCUGUCGCCAUCGUGUGGCAUUAUUGUCUUCAGACAUCUCUUGAUUUCUUUGACUACUUCACGAAAUAGUAAUACGCCUCGCCGGUGGCAAAUUUAAAGGCGAGAAGAGGAGCUUAUGUGAUUGGUGAAAACUGGUCUCGGCUGUGUAAAACCCACUCCACGCCCUCUCUCCUCCCUUGCUACGACUUACGCCACUGGGAGGAGCUGAGUUAAGGAGGGGGGAAACUUAAGCCGGGCUACGCCGCUCACCAAAAUACCAAAUUGUGCUUGGGAACGCCUUGUUGGUGUGGCGGACGUGACUUAUGCCGCGCCUGCGGCACGUCUCCAGCAAGGCAUGAAAAUAGAGCCUUUAUGCCUUAAGGGUCAUGAUGUAAGCUAUCAUCACAAUUGGCUUUCUUACAAGCAUUGCAGUCCGCUAAUGCACACGCUUGUUCCGCAGUUCUCUUCUCUACUUCUUGGAGUCUGGUCUGCAAAGCUGGGUGCUAGGGGCGGAGCUUGAAGUUAUGGCGUACAAACGUUCACUCAGUCUGAAGCUGCCAUUGGGUCAGCCAGAGAUUCACAGCGAUUUGAAUGCAGCAAUACUGAGAAGUUUUUCUCAUGAUAUGUCCUCUAGCAUCAGAAAAAUGGCAUAUGAACAUGUAGACAACAAGAAAAGCACAAUUUUCAUCGGACUAGGUCUUUAAGGUUUAACAAAUCGUAUCAAAAAUCAAAAGCUCUGUUUCAUUACGCCACACCUACACACUCUUGCGACAUUUUGCCGUGUGUAUGAAACAUUUGCUCGAAGUGUACGAAGAUGCAUUUAGUAACCAAGUGUGCAGAAUUUUUUAAAACAAACUUGCCAACCUCUAUUUUCAUUGUGCAACAGAUUAAAAAGAUAAUGUCGCUGUAGACCAAAUGCUGCUGAUUGUGCUGACAUUUAAACAGAUCUUGUUUUGUUAGAUUUCACCUUAUUGAUGCUUUUAUUAUACCUCAUAUUCAUAUAGCAGAUUUUCCCAUUGUCUUUGUCUCUAAUGAGCAGAUUAUCCUGCCCCAUCAACAGCAAUUAUAACUUUAUUUAUGUUGUACUUUUCAAAAAACAAAACAAGUUACAAAGAGCUUAACUGUUAGAAUAGUAAUUAUAUUAAAAAUUAAAAACAAAGCUGUUAACGGCGGUAGUUAUAAAAAGCAAUUUGCAAACAAACAGGGUUAAUAAAGAAAGUCAAAAAAACAAUUACAACAGAUGACAAAUAAGAACAAGUUAAGACUUUAAUGCUAAUUUGAAACCAUAAACACACUUAUAACAAAGCAGACAAAGUAUGAGACAAUAAUGAAAUUGUCUUAAUUAGUAUUGUCUCAGUUGUUAUAAAUAACUGCAUAUACUUGCAGAUGAAGAUUAAAGCGCUGUAUCUGUGGCCCCCUCAUAAAAUCAAGUGUAAUGUUAUUAACAUCUGUGGACCUGCGUUAAGAUUUUAAAUGCAUGGUUCUACACUGGUAUUUUUGUGAUAUGAACAUAAAAUUCAGUUUCAACAUUUGCAUCCUUGACACAUCUUUCUUUCAUUGAAUUUCUUUAGUAAGAUCCAUCUGUGGUCUCCUGGCUUUGAGUAAGAGCUUAAAGACCCACUCUGAUGAAAAUCCUGUUUUUUUUUGUUGUUUUCAUGUCCAUAAGGCAUCUGAUGCUUGAUGACAUAUCAUGAAAAAAAUAAGUGUAAAAUCAAAUUCACUAGUGUUUCCUCAUUCAAAUCGCUGUGAAUUUCCGGCAGAUCCAAACAGCUGGUUCAGAUACAGUGGCCCUCAUUUAUCAAUCUUGCGCAGAUCUGAGCGCAGGAUUCAUCGUACGAUAGGACACACGUCUUCACUGGUGUCCGUGGUUCAGAAGCCUCGCCCACUGAGGUCAAACAUGAAACAGUAAAAAUAUUAGAAAGAUUGAAACUUUUCCGAGCUGAAAAUGGAUAUCCUCACAUUUGUGGUGGAAACUAAUCAGGAUUUUCUCUUUGGAAGCAUCAAAACUGGUCUAAAAGCAGUCCAGAAAACUCCUGUCUGGAGCAGGAUUAUGGUGGUGGUGAACAGUGCUGCCGCGGAAUAGCGGACAGUGGCUGAAGUUUGAAUAAAUCAUUAGUCAAUAAGUAGCUCAUGAUGAUAAAUUAACAUCUCAUACAUGCCUCAUAGUUUUUAUUGCCAUGACAGGGUAUGUUGCUCUUAUUAUUGAAAGUAUUUAGUUUUAAUUUGUUGCGUCUUUGUAAUGUAGAGCAGACUGGAGAGUCUGACAGAGGCUGAAAAAAAAAAAAUAUUAACCUCACCAAACGGUGUGUUGCUACCUCUGAGGCACAUUUUUAUAGAUUUCUAUUGGAUUUUUAUCACUGAUAAAAUAGCAAGAGCACUUUCUAAACUUAUAUUUUACAAGUCAGAAUCCAUCGAUAAGGUCCUGUCUCCUCUGUACAGCACCUUUGUGGAGUCUCUCCUCGUUAUUGUUCUCCGGGCAUCGGGUCCUCACUUUAUCUUUAACGAAAUCUGUCUGAUUGUGCUUAAUGACAGGUUUGAGGUUUGUUUAUCAAUUAUUUCGAGACAGGUAUUUGCUGCACCGCAGAUCCACACUGACUCAAACUUGCGUACACGAUGUCAGACCUGUCUUGAGAUUUGGUCGUAGCGUACGCUCACUUGUAGAUUGAUAAAUGCCGAUCCUUGCGUCAAAAUUUUCAUACGCAAGGUGUACGCAAGUUUUCUGCUGUACGCAAGCUUGAUAAAUGAGGGCCAGUGAGAUUUCCUACAUCACACCUGCAAGCACCACCCCUAGAGCCCCACUAUGCAGGCUAGACUUCGAGAAAUACAGAGGUCGAUCGCGGAACAAGCGUGCGCAUUAGUGGAUUGCAAUGCUCUUAAGAAAGCUAAUUACGAUAUUAGCUUACAUCAUGUCCCCAAAGACAUUCGUGUCCAAGAGCUGAAUAGCUCCUAUGUUACCUGCUUCUGCUACUACACCGGCAAUGCUAGGCUGCAAGCUAGCAUGAAGAGGAGUGUGCAGAGCAGCGCUGUCUCCGCCCAAGACUCAGAGGCAAAUUGCUAAUGAGCUACUGGAGCUCUGCAGAAGAACAUCUUUGAAAUGACACAGGUAAUGUGAUUUUGGCUAAAAACUUCAGAAUCACAAUUUAAAGACCACUGAGAACACUUUCAGUAGUUAAAGAAUGAAUUUGGGGAUUUUGACUUGGGCUCAUAGUGUCCAGAUGCAGUCUGACAGGUAAAGUACAAAUUAAGCAUGCUGCUCUCUGAUUGUUGGAGGAAUGUGUUGGAACACGUGCACUAAUAUCAAGAUUUUAUUUCAAUGGCUGCAAUAUAUCUAAUAAAAACUGUUAUCAUUUACUUCUAAACAACCCUACAUUUGAACAGUGGGUGGUAUGGUCCAUUAUGAGAUGGUAAAGCAUAAGAGGAGGUGCAGCUGCAACAUGUGUUGACCAGAAAAAUCCCCACUGUGCAUCCCCUUAUUUUGCUCCUUGAAAGAAGAAACAUAAUUGAAAACAAAUUAGUCAAACUUUUGCCAUUUUUUGUUUUUUGAUAUGUUUUUCAUUUUGAGGAAAGUUUGAAGAUAUUUGAAGAAUUUUGUGCAGAUAUACAGUACCUGCAUUUCCUGGAAGUCUGUAAAUACAUCUCAAGUCCUUAAUCAUCCUAUCACUUUUUCUAGCGUUUCAUUAUAGAUUUUGUCAAGAAGAGCAUGUAAACAAAAUGUCCUUUCUGAACAUUUUCAAAUACAACUAAUUUAGCACAUCAUAUUUAACUUUUCUAUAUCUUUUAUCAUAUCCUCAGAAUAUCAUGCAUAUCCUCUAUCUAAAGCUCCUGGAAAGCUGCUGUUUGAAAACUGACAUUUGCCAGAUUCUCACAGUCAUGAUACCAAACAUCCUUUAAUAACGAGCUGCAGUUUCAAAGAUGUGAAACACUAAUGAAGCAAAAGAAAUGAGCGAUAAAAGUCACAUAUAAACAUGCUUGAUGUUUUAAAGGAAUGCAGUUUGAAACAUAGAAUCAUGAUCAUGUCUGUGGAAACAUGCAGCAAAGCUGACAGUCAAGAGGAAAGAUGGUUUUUGCUCCGAAGCUCACUCUUAUGUUUCAUCUGAUAGAAGCGUGAUAGAUAACAUAUCUCUGAAUGUAUGUUCACUCUUAUUCUCCAUGUCUUCCUGUCAGGAGGCAGAACAAUAACUGCAUGUUUAUGGUAAUGCAUCCUAUUUUCACUCCCUUCAAACAACGAGCUCACUCGGGAGUUUGUCUUUGUGUUUUUUAUUUGAUGGUCUUAAAGACAAGAGUUUGAGGUCAUCUCACUCCUACAGAGAGGAGACUAGAGGGAGACUCAAAUCACAGGCUGACGCUUUUGAAUGUAAAUCAUUUUACUCCUCCACAGCACAAAGAGGUGUAAACACUCCUUUGAGUGUAAACUCUGAUUCACAGACAUGAAAGGAGAUGUCUUUAUUUCUGCAGAAUUCUUCUUAUGACCACUUUAGAUUUCUGAAUCAGGAACCUCUCUGUGGGGAUUCUUUUGAUAGUCGUCCUCUACUUUGUCCUGUAUACACGCUUCUCCACACACUGUACAUAAAUGAAGAAGGCAAACUGCAAAACCUUAACUUUAUCAGUAUGAUGAGACUUGAUUCUGCAUUGAUUCUGGCAAGGUACUGUUUACCAUAGUGUGGUCUAAUUGCAGAAUUUGAGAGUCACUGGUCUGCUGCUGUCGUCAUUGGUUACUGGGUGUAAAAUGAUUAAUGCAGUAGCCGUUUCUGGUUAAAUAAAAUCCUCAUCUUCUGUAACAAAACGCUCUCUCUGUGUAGGGAUGCUUCCUGUAAUGCCGUGAGACUCUGACGACAACAACAACAAGAACUUCCAGGGGACACAUUCCGGAUUAUGUUGCAGCUAUUGCAGCCUGCCCAGAUAGCACACAUAUGUUGUGCUGAUAUUGUCUAUAACAUCUGACAAACAUCGGCCCAAUAGUGGAUUAAGUGGUCUAAUGUCCUAGUGUAUCAGACAUCUCAGCAAGGUUGUUUUUGCGUCGGCUGGCCGACCCCGCCUUUCAGUUUGGACAGUCACCCAAUGGCAAUCGCCGUUACAUGCCAUGAAACGCAGAGGAAAAUACGUCAACUCCCUACCAUUGUUUUUCAGGUAAGCUACUGACAUAAAUUGGCGGAAAAUAACUUUUGAGGCAAUUCUGUGACGGUUACUAAAGUUGCUAACAACUGGUUAUGCCUGUUACAUGUGCAUCUAUAGAAUAUGCCACACUAAUAUGUGUUUUCUUUGAGGCACUCCUGAGGACUCCUUUGUGGCACUUGCUGGCCUCCAUAUGCUGGCUCCACCAGAUAAUUGAGCUGAUCACCUGCACCUGUGGGCAGUCCAUAAAAGCCAAGGGAGACUCUUCCACACUCUCUCUCAGCCUGCAGCCAGACCAGACAUGUUGUCCCAGCUCCCAUACCUUCCAUUGUUAUUUUGAGAUCUUGUGAAUAAAUGCUUUGGCGAAAACUUUGAGUUGUUUCAGAUCCCUUAUGUUGCUUCCCCUGAGCCAGGUUCGUAACAAUGCCCAGUCUCCUCUCCGACGCAAACCAACCCGGUAGCUACAGGAAAGUACUAAAGUACCAGACUGCUUGCCCUGGUGCUCCUGUUAGCUCCGUUAGCUCUUAGCGUAGUAGUGCAUUGUUCAGCACCAGAUUUGGUGGUAGCCGAUCUGAUCAGCACAGAUCUCUUCCACUCAGUCAAAUGGAUCCGGUCAUUAGAACAAGCCAAAGAGUUUAAACUAUUGAUGGUACGAAGUGAAGUGAGAUUUACUUUUAUUUAGUUCAUAUGCGCUGUUUCCCAGGUGUUCGUUUCUUGCGUCUGUGCUGAGUCCAGACAAUAAAGUGUUUUGGCUAGACUUACGGUCCUUACACAACGGGACCGACGCAGUUCUGAUUAGACACUAGUGUUGAGAUGACUGUCUGUCAUGAUAGCAUGUACUGAGUCAGGGCCAGUACCAGAUAAGCACAUUAAACUAUAAUCCAUAACGUAAGGUAACAACCGAGACCUAACGGUGCUGUGACAGCAACACCAUUGAGUUUGAGACAGUGAAAAUACAUAUGGUAUGUUGUAUCUGAACAGGUUAGCAUACGAGCUAAAGUUACUGAACACAGAUGAAAGUUAAAACAAAGAUGUUUAGCAAACUGUUAAAGCACACAAACCAUCGUCAUAUGAGAAAUCCAACGCUAUAAAAGCACUCUGUUCUCUGACACACAAACAAUCAACCGGUCGGCCAUGUUGGAUAUACCGGUGAAUCUGACGUCGCAAGAACGCGAAAUCUGAUUGGUCAGAAGUGGACACACAGAAUGCAAAACUUUAGAAAAAUUGACCGCGAUCCGGAAAAAUAAAUGCCGCAAUAUUGCAAGAUGGGAAAACAACGCUGAUGUGAACGCUUGUACUGACAGGAUACAGGUUCGAAAAAAAAAUUGGCGUCCAAAAUAAUUGCACGAAAAAAACAGUCCCGGUGUGAAAGGACCUUUAUGGAUCUUCAUUAUUAACACACACACACACACAAAAGCAGGUAGCUAUUAGCAGUCAGUAUUAGGUCGGCAUUGUUUUAUUUGUAUUGCAUAGUAUAUUUACAGUACAGCUUCGACCUAUAAAUAAAGGUUGUGCACUACAACUUUGAUUAAUCGUCCAAACAUUGUGUGUCAAUUCCUCAUUUGAUCAUUUUAGAUCAAAAGCUGACGUCCUUGCGAUGUUGUGGCAAUUAGGCAACGCUCGCCUUGCGACAUCUUAGCGAUGAAACUAGAUGUACUAGGCAGACGUUGGCACGAUGUACGUGUGCUAUCUGGGCGUUUUGCAGCUGCAGGAUGCAAAUAUCUAAUAGAGCAAUUCCCAACUCUUUUUAAAAAAAUUUUCAACCCCACAAUGUGUAAAAACCUUUUUUAACUGUCAGCACUCUGGGAAAGAUUCAAAUGUGGUGUUUCAGCUGGACGUCCACAAAGAGGAAACAUUAGUGCAGCUGAAAUCACUUCCUUAUGAUGCACGGUCUGUUUGUCAGCUGUGUUUCUGAAGCAGACUCAUUUCUCACUGUCACCUCCUCCUCCUCCUCACUGUCCAAAGACAAACUCCUCUUCGGCCGUCCUCCCUGUAAUUAUCGACAGCAGCGACACCCCUGAUGAUUUAUGGUCAUUAUUUUAGCAGGAGAUAAAAUGUAAAUCUGCAUAAUGGCUGUCAUUUUUGCGACGAAGACGAGGAAACUUUGCAUAGAGAUUGAUUCUGGUCCUUUGGCUGGUCAGACGCAGGAAAUUAAGCGGUGAGUCAUUUUGCCGAUGCAGUAUGAAGACGGUCCGAGCUUAGAGCACAUCAUGACUUCUUCGUUUUAAUCCUCUUCCUUGCCAGAGACUCACUUUACUGUGAGGGAGGAGAGGGGAUAAAAGUGCUGUAAGCUGCUGAAGAAGUAUCUGUACGUUUAAGCAACGGCUCACAAUGACUUCUUUAGACUUUAAUCUGCUUAAAGAUGCAAAACGUGGACCACUAAUAAUGAGAAUGACAAAAACCAUGAGGGUCCAGACCCAGAAGAGAACUUAGGAGAGCCCUCACUCUAACAUGUUAUGAUACGUCUUUAUCUCCUCAGGUUACUUGCAUUGUUCCUUAUGUUUCUGUAUUGCUUCAGGGAGUUUGGCAUUAUUAAUCUUUGACUGCAUUAUACAUCUAACAAGCUCAUUUCUUUGGGAAAAUAAAAGAUUAGAGCAACAUAUUUCCAUUUUCAAACUUUCAUGGGUUGCAGAAAAAAGAAUGCUGUAGCUUUAGCUAAGUGGGCCCCUGACAGCAAGUGAAGUUAUCAGAGUCUUUACGAAUAAAACCUAGUUUUCUCUGAGGCAACAAAGACAUGAAAAUGUGAAGGGAAGAGACAUAAAAACUAGUUUGCUGAAGAAAGAGGUCAGUUUUCUGACUUUACCAGGACAAAUAAAAAUGGGACUCACCUUUUACAGACAGAUAUUUGUAUCAAAGUUUGGAAAGGAGCUGAAGUUGAAGCCACAGCUUUAGAAAAACUAACUUUUUAACUUUAAAAAAAGUUAAAGAGUUGGCCAGAGGCAUUGGCAAUAAUAAGAUGGAGGAAGGAAGAAAAAAAGAGGGAAAUUUUAAAAAUGAAAAAUGAAUGAACUAAUAUCUUUAUCUAUAAACAUAUUUAUGUAUUUGCAUAUACAGUAUAUAUAAAUAUAUAUAGUACAGGCCAAAAGUUUGGACACACCUUCUCAUUCAAUGUCUUCUCUUUAUUUUUUUAUAUGACUAUUUACAUUGUGGAUUAUCACUGAAGGCAUCAAAACUAUGAAUGAACACAUGUAGAAUUUUGUACUCAUAAAAAAAGUGUGAAAUAACCGAAAACAUGUUUUAUAUUCUAGUUUCUUUAAAAUAGCCACCUUUUGCUCUUGAUGACAGAAGUACCUUGUCAGGGUUACUUCAGGCACUCCUGUGAAGUAAAAACCAUUUCAGGUGACUACCUCAUGAAGCUCAUUGAGAGAACAGCUAAAGUUUGCAGCGCUAUCAAAAAAGCAAAGAGUGGCUACUUUGAGAAAUCUAAAAUAUAAUACAUGUUUUCAGUUAUUUCACACUUUUUUCUUAAGCACAUGAUUCUACAUGUGUUCAUUCAAAGUUUUGAGAAUCUACAAUUUAAAUAGUAAUGAAAACAAAGAAAAUGCAUUGAAUGAGAAGGUGUGUCCAAACUUUUGGCCUGUACUGUAUAUAUAUAUAUAUAUAUAUAUAUAUAUAUAUGUAUAUAUAUGUAUAUAUAUAUAUAUAUUUUUCUUCUUAAUUUCAUUUAUUUAUUUUUUAUUAUUAUAUUUAUUUUAUAUGUAUAUAUAUAUAUAUAUAUAUAUAUUUUUUUUUUCUUCUUAAUUUCAUUUAUUUAUUUUUUAUUAUUAUAUUUAUUUUUUUAUAUAUAUAUAUAUAUAUAUAUAUAUAUAUAUAUGUAUAUUUAUAUAUAGAAUAUAUAUAUGUAUAUAAUUAAUUAUUUAUAUAUAUAUAUAUAUAUAUAUAUAUAUUUUUUUUUUUUCUUCUUAAUUUCAUUUAUUUAUUUUUUUUCCUUUGUCCCUUUGUUCUGUUGCAUUAUUCUUUUUACUUUUAUUAGUUAGUGUUAUUAUUUCCAAACAAUUCAUGGGUCAAUGACGUAUUAGGUUUUUCAACAUGCCAAUUUUAAAAUACCAAAAAUAAGAAUAUCUUUUGCAACAGUUCAAACACUAAGGAUGUUAUGUAUACAAAAACUAAAGUUAAAUUUUUAAAUUAGGCAAUUUUAGUGUUUUUUCAUAUAGAUGAAUUGCCUGUGGCCUUAAAAAAUGUCAUGUGGUGCGACCAUCAUUUAUCUCAAAAUUAUUACAUUUUUUCAACAUACAUAAUAGUUUUUUACAAAUUGUCAGUAAUAUCAAGUACAUAGGAACAAAGCGUUUGCAUUUUAUUUGAGUUUUUGUCAAUAAUGAUCUCAUAUAUUAGCUCGAUAAUGUCACAGUCGCUAUAUCAAAUGUAGUUCACUGACUAUUUUUUUCUUUAAAUUGCAUAAUACUGAUAAAAAUGUUUUGAAACUACCUUUCAUGUAAGCAUAUUGUAUCAGGUAUUAAUGUCUCGGUUACAGAAAUGAGAUAUUUUAGUUUGUAUUUGAUAUAAUUAAUGUUAUUAUUGGUCGCACCACAUGAUUGGUGGUCGCGCCAAAUGACCUGAAGACCUUGUAUCAUUAAAAAUCAAUUUAAAGAGACCUAUGAACAAUUAAUUUCAUGCAAAUUUUAUAUUAAAACCAAAUUUUAUUAAAAUUUCAAACAUGAACGCGAACAUUUUAUUUCCCUUUUUUACAAAAAUUUAACUCUGUGUGUGUUUGUGUGUGUGGUCCAGAGGCCUGUACUACGAAGCUGGAUUAACACACCCAGGAUAACUCUGCCACAUCUCGCUCAACUUCACCAGAUCUCUGUAAUCCCGAUCAGCUGUACUACGAGGCAGGAUAUCAACUAGCUAACUAAAUUCAGUUGUGGCCAGUCUAGAUCUGUGCGCGCACACGUAAAGGGGGCGGGAUCAGUGCCACCGGACCAAUCUCCACAAUGAAGAAGGCUGCACGUCAUAUUUCACAGCCGAGGAACAGAGCAUUAUUGUACGCUAAUACGCGGAGUACUGCAACAUUAUAACAUUGAGGAGCAGGACAGCCAAAGUCGCUAAAAGCCGGAGGGACUGCUGGCAAAAAAAAUAAUAGAUCGUGUAAAUUUCAUUUGUGCGUUGAUAAAUUUAUGGCCCCCUAAUAUGUUGUCAUGCAGCGUGUGUGAUAACCUCCAUCAUUGACCUCAUUAUUUCAGAUACAACAGCAGUAGGGAAAAGAGUAGGUGGGAGCAAAUAAAAAUAAAUCUAAAAACAUCCGUCAAAGUGGUUAGCUGGUUUACUGGAAGAUUUUAUUUGUACAUAUUUCAACGCGUAAACAGUGAUUUCCUCACACUGCUUUUUUUUCUUUUUUCUCCAUCAUCUGAUGGUCACAUGUCAUCUGCAGACACAUUUGGUGAUAUGAUAUGGCGCAUGAAACUUGAACUUGGAGCUUGGCUAAUAUUAGUGUAUCGCUUCGACUUCAUGUUACCUGACUAUUGAGGCCGUCCGAGGAAAACCUGUGACGUUCAUAGAGAACGUCAUCAGGUAAAUCAAACGGAUCUGAACGAUCAUGAAUAUAACGCUCUCGGCGAAGCGCUCCUCUCACCAUCCAUGCAGCGAUGUCAACAAUCUUGGCCCAAUCUUUGACCAGCCCCGGCAUGAACAACAUGCUGCAGGGUCAGAGUUGACACGCUGCCUAUGGCGAGCGCUUUUAACUUUGCUCGCCAGUGGCAUCUGGUAAAAUAAAUUAAAAUGACUUAAAUUGAUACAUGAAAGUUAAUAAAUUGCUAACAAUGGCAUAAAUACCUUAAGUGAAAUGGCAUGCUUUUAAUAUUUUUUUUCUUAUUUUGUACAGAGAUGACCUAACUAUUAUUUCAGAAAUGUUAGCAAAAUGACUCAUCAAAUAACAAAAAAAAUUCAAAAUAAUACUAAAAGUUAAGUACUUAGUGUUUAUCAAUCAUCAAUUGAAUAUAAAAGCGUAAAUACUGCCAAUCGAGGGCAUAUAUUUAUGAUAAAAAACAAUCUGCAGUGGUCGCACCACAUGAUAAUUGGUCGCACCGCAUGACAUUUCAAAUUUAGUCAAAUCUUACUGAUACAGGAUUAGUCACAUAAACAAACCUCACUAGCUUCCUACAAAAGGUCACUAUAAAAUUUAUAAUUAAAAUACUUAUUUGUGGAAAUAACUUAAAUUAAUUGUUUUUUUUGAGGUCAUACCACAUGACAUCGAAAAGUGCAAACACCAUUACAGCAGUUGAAAAGGUCUCUUUUUUUUAAAGAAAUGAGAGAACCACCAACCCUCUUUCUGCUUCCAUAGCUCUACGACAAAAUGGUGAAUGAUCCAACAUCCUUUCCUUGAGUAGAUUUCAGCAUAAAAGUGUCAAAAAUUGUCAUUUUUUGAUGGUCGCACCACAUGAUAUUUAAUGAAAUGGACACAAUCGGACAAAAUUCGUUUGAAUAUUAUGAAAAAAUUGUAACUGCAAAAGCUUUGCAAUUUUGUACAGGAAUAAAAAACACUUUCAAAAUUAUGCCGAAUAUUGCAGAAACUAAAUUGUAAUAGAUUUAGAGUAAUUUCAAAGAAGUUUUCAAAACAGAAGUCAUGGCCGGACGGUCGCACCACAUGAUAUUUUGACCCUUUGAAGUUAAAAAAAAAUUACAAAAAACUCCUGAUUUUUGAAAAGUUGAAGGGGCUCCAUAUAUUAGAGAGAUACUACAAAUAGAUAGUAUAUUUUUUUACAUUUAAAACUCUUUGUAACAUAAAGAAAAUACAGCCGGACAGAAUAUUGAGGCGUCACGUCAUUGAUGAAAUAAGUAAUACAAUAAGUAAUUAAUGCACUCAUACACACACACACACACACACACACACACACACACACACACACACACACACACACACACACACACACGAGUUCAACACCUUCAAACUGUGAAAUACCACCAAUACCUGCUUGUGUCUAUCUUGUCUUGUCUCACCCAUCUGUUUCUUAGUUUGUUGUCCUUCACUUGUCAUGUUCUGUUUUGAAUCACUUAAUAAAAAAAAAGAAUAAAUAAAUUUAAAAAAAAACUUUGUGAGAAUUCUGAGAUUUCAAAACCAGAAAUCUGCUGGCUUAGGAAAUUUGUUAAGCUACAUCGCCCUGCAUGAAGACUAGAUUUAAUUAGUGACAAACUUGAGAGGAAUUAACUGAAAUGUUUUCUGUGAGUAACUUAGAUUUCUUUUGUAAAAUUGUCUUUUUUUUUUUUUUUUGUAUGUUCUUUUUCUUUUUUUGCCCAGACUUAAGUGCACAUUGAGGUAAGUGCUGUUCUGUCAUUGAGACUAAAAUAAGAAACAUACACCUCCAGUGGUGCUAGUGUAAAGAUGAAUCAUAGCAGAGUAUUAUUAUGACCAUUGAACACAGUGUUCUCUGUGUUCGCUUCAAAAUGACUGGUGUUUAAACCUGCAGUUGACAUUGCAGGUCAUCACUUUUCCUAAAUUUAACCCUUUCACACUCAUUUUCAAUACCUAAAACUCGUUCUAUUUGAAAUCUUUCCUUUGUCUCUGCAGAGAGGAGCCGGAAUGUGCAUCAGCUAAUUGUAAGAAAAAAAACAUCAUGGAAUGCAUCAAUUUUAGAUUUAUAAUUAUGAGUCCUGCAAAAUCCUGCAACUUGGUUGGGAUUAAGUUUCAGAAGAUCAUGUAACACUUGAAUAAUUCAUUUUAUCAACGGUCCGUGUUGUUGUAUUUAUUGUAAGGAGAUUGUAUAUGACUUUCAUUGUUAAAGAAAUUAUUUUUUUUUUAAAAAGGGAAAAAGUUAAAAAUAAAUAAAAACAUGAAAAUUCAUUUCAUUUUCACAUUUUCAGUUUUGACAGAGAGCAAGAAUUGUACACAGCGUAGAAUCCUUCUAAAUCCUUCAUUUUAAAGGUCCUUUCACACCAGUGUUGUUUUCGUUGAUGAAAAUAUUUCGUCAACACCUGUUUUUUUUUCCAUGACGAAGACGUGACGUUGAUGAGCUAAACAUAAGUCUUAGAUGACUAAAAUGUGACGAGACCAAUGUGCGUUUACGUUGACGAGACUAGAAGAAAACGUUAGUGGUGGACGACGAACAGAGUUGUAAAAUUCAUGCGCAUUUCGUGAGUCAAAUGCUAAACAUAUAUUAUACAGUGUUGUUUUUGUUGAUGAUGAUGUUGAUGAAAUAUUUUCAUCAACGUCGUUGUCAAUGAAAAGAACACUGUUUCACACCUGUUUUUCUUUUUGUGCGAUUAUUUCGGAUUUCAGUAUUUUUUUCGAACCUGUAUCCUGUCAAUACAAGCGUUCACAUCAGCGACGUUUUCCUGUCCUGCGAUAUGGUGGCAUUUAUUUUUUCAGAUCAAGGUCAAUUUUUCUCAAGUUUGACAUUCUGUUUGUCCACUUCUGACCAAUCAGAUUGUGUGUUGUUGCGACAUCUGAUUUACUGGUAUAUCCAACAUGGCCGACCGGCUGAUUGUUUACCUGUCAGAGAGCAGAGUGCUUUUUGAUAAAAAACACAAAUAUUACAAAGAUAACGACCUGAAGGACAACUUGUGGAGAGUCAUAGCCUCGUAUUUCUCAUAUGGCGAUGUUUUGUGUGCUUUAACAGUUUGCUAAACAUCUUUGUUUUAACCUUAAUCUGUGCUAAGUAACUUUAGCUUGUAAGCUAACCUGUUCAGAUACAACAUACCAUAUGUAUUUUCUCUGUCUCAAACUCAAUCACAGUGUUGCUGUCACAGCACCAUUAGGUCUCAGUUGUUACCUUACGUUUAUGGAUUAUAGUUUAAUGUUCUUAUCUGGUACUGGCCCCGACUCAGUACAUGCUAUCAUGACAGACAGACAUCUCAACACUAGUGUCUAAUCAGAACUGAAAAACAGGCAGUCUGCUGUUGUGUCA